AGCUCUAUCUGAAGAUGAAUGCAGAAAUGCCCUCAGAUGAUGGUAAGAGAUACGAGUUAGAGAUGUCCUACAUUCUUCAAACACGUGUUUGUUGAGGGCCAACCAUGCGCAGACUUUGAACAAGGCUCUUUGGAUACAUGGGGGUUAGGACUGACCAGCACCCCUGUCCUCGGAGCUGACAUCUGGUGGAAGAGACCGAUAAGUGUGACACCGCUAUAAUUACAAGUCAUAGUUCGAGCUGUGUGA